UCAUAUCCGUGACACAAAUUAUCCUAAACUAGGAAAAAGAAAAUAGCAUUCUAAGAAAGCUCACAAAUAUUCAACCUUAUGGGUGAAAAAAUUAAUAAUAUCAGUCAAAAAAUUUGUUCUCUAAAAUUCUCUCUCUAGGUAGUUAUAAAUUGGUAAUUCUUGCCAUUUACAGCUGGUGCCUACUAUUGUUUCUCAGAUACCGACGGAGCUCCUCUGACCAUCUGGACAUAUCUCCACAGGGAUGACAAGCAUGCAUCCAGUCUCCACAGAAAACUCCACCCACAUAUAUGCCAUAUAUCUUUCAAUAGGUAGUCCAGUCUGAUGGUCACUCAGCUUAAAUUUCAGAAGGUUAGUAAUGAUGGGCUCAGGAGAUCAUCAACGAAGCUCAAUAAGAUAUGUACAAAAAGCUGGGGGAGGUGAAGCAGAAUUAAAUUGAAUUUGCACCAGGAACAAAUACUAUUACAACUCAACUAUAAUCCAUUCCAAAAUUCUCAAUGUUGAAUGAUGGCGAGAUGAAGACCUUUAUGGAAUAAACUGGUGCAAUGGUCUGCAUCAACCUUACCUUGGUGCAUAAUUGGUGAUUUCAAUGGUAUUACUAAAGUAAGUGAAAAAUUGAGUGGUAUCCUUUAUGAUAUGAGGAAGAGCUUUAAAUUCUUGGGGGUGAUUGAAGCUUGUGGUCUAACUGAUUUGGGCUUCUAUGGUCCCAAGUUCACUUGGUCCAAUCUAAUGGGUAUUAAAUUUAGAAUAUGGAAAAGACUGGAUAGAGCAAUGGUUUCAGAUGCUUCAUUUGAGAAAAUGCCAAUGACCAACAUUACUCACUUGUCUUCUGUUGGUUCUGAUCAUUUUCCACUACUUUUGGAAAUGCAAUAAAGGCUGGAAUCACAUAUUAAGUACUUCAAAUUCUUGAAUUGUUGGAUGGAUCAUCUCAUAUUCCUUAACAAUGUGGAGACUUCUUGUCAAAAACCAUAUGAAGGAACACCCAUGGGGAGAUUUCAGCAGAAGCUUAAAAGAUUGACCUCUACUCUAAGUUAGUGGUAUAAAAACGUAUUUGGUGACAUCUAUGCCAAUGUUAAAACUUAUGAAGAAAAGUUCAAGGAAGCUGAGGAAAAUUUGAUCUUAAAUGGUACUGAUAAGAAGAAACAGGAAUUCCACAGAGUACAAGCUGAAUAUAUCAGACACCUCAAGGUGGAGAAUGCUAUAUUAAGAUAGAAAUAUAAACUACACUGGUUUAAGUAUGUAGAUGCAAAUUCUAGUUAUUUUUAUGUUUUAUCAAAGGAAUAAGAAGAAAAAUGUUCAUGCACAAAGUAAAGAAUGAUGAAGGGGAUUGGAUUCAAGGGGAUGAUGAAAUAGCUGGAGUUGUAUGUAAAUAUUUCCAGGGUAUCUUUACUAGGACAGCAGAACAUGUACCUAAGGAAAUGUUAUCCAAUAUUCCUAAAAUGAUAUCUAAUGAUCAAAAUAAGAUUCUUUACGUAAUCCUAUACUAGAUAAAGUGAAGGAUGCAGUCUUCCCAAUGAAUGCUCACUUAACAGAUGGUGCUGAUGGUAUGAGUGGGAAAUUCUUUCAAUCCUUCUACUAUAUCAGUGUGCACUCACUAAUCCUGGAAGGAUUGGUGCUGGCGGGAUCAUUAGAGACACAACGGUGAUCUCAUCUAUGCUUAUGCUACCCCAUUGGGGCAAGGGAAUAAUAACCAAAUAAAGGUGGAAGCUGUUAUAUGGGGUCUCUCUUUGUAUCUGAUUAAUGGUACAGAACAUGUUAUGAUAAUGGUGGAUUCUGAGCUCCUAGACAGAUGGAUAAAGGAUCAAUUAUCAGGCCCAUGGCACUUGCAACCUCUUGUGGAUUCCUUACUAAAGCUCGUUUCACAAUUUCACCUGUGUAUUUGUAGACAUGUAUACAACAAAGUUAAUUUUGUACCAGAUGCUUUAUAAAAAGUUAGCCACCAAUCCUUCCAUCCUCAACAUUAUUUCUACAACUGUUAGCUUCCCUCAACAGUAGUAGGGUAUUUUCAACUAGAUAAAUUAGGCAUGCCAAUCUUCAGGAGAAGGAAGUUAAACAAGUUGCAUGAACCACCUUAGUGUAUAGAAAGAACUGGAAAAAAGGCAUAAGCAUGUCAUAUUAGUAUUAGCCUACUUGUAUAUUAUAACCUCUGCUCUAGUCUCAUAUUAUGCCCCCCUCUAUGUACAGUUUCUCUAGUGAUUAAAUGAUAACGCUUGGGGGUGCUGCUCAACCCCCGAAAAUUUCAAUUAAAAAAAAACCUUAUGCAUCCAAAACCAUCAUCUAAUUCCCAAACAUCAAAAAGACAAUACUAAGUUAUUUCAUAAUCAAGCAUAAAAUUCAUAUUCACAUGUCAUAGAUAACACACAUCAUCUUCAAAAAAGAGUAGGUAAAAGCCUACAAUAAAGCCGAAGCGCAAAACCUCACACUGUUUGUAAAUAUCCAUCUUCAGUUAACAAUCCCAAAAUGCCAUCGCACUAUCAAAAUAUAAUCUACUCAUCAAUACUAGUCUAACUAUACCCAUAUUACACCAUUGAGCUUUAAGCACCAAAACAACACCAAAACCCCAAAGUGGGUCCCACUUAUGGAAAAUAGAUUUUGAGGUCGUUAAGGAAUCAUAACCCUUAUGAAAUGGGAUAAAACAAAGGAAAACUUUAGUCUAAAAUCUAGGCCUAAGUGAAUUUGGAGUUUUGGGUAAAAAACCAAGGAGUUCAUCAAAUUAGUGAGAAAUCAUACCUCAAAGUCAAAGAUAUUCGUAAUAAUGGAUGAUAAACAAGCUCCCAAUUCACCCACCAUGAUCCUUUUAUGAUUUGCACACAAUAAUAGGAUUACUAAUAUUUAAUAGAAGUGGGGAAAUAUCCAAUUCUCGACCAAAUGGAGUUUAAAUACCCAUCCCAGUUAUCUAGUUCUUGCAAUCGCGAACACACACGCUAUGAUCAUUACAUCACGAUUGCAAUGUGCACUCUGUGAUCGUAAUACUCCACUACUACACCUGAAGACAGCUGAAAAUUUGAAUAUUUCCAAAGUUUCGUCCAAUGUCUCAAGAUGCAUUUGGUAUCCAAUAUGAGCAAAUGAAAUAUGUGACCAUACUAAUUUCUAUAUUUUUGAUGCAUUAGUGAAGUAGCAUUUUACAUCCGAGGUUGUUUCAACCAAAUAUGGGUGUUAAACUUAUUCCUUUCAAUUUUCCACUUUCUGAUCAAUAGGUCAAAAUGAGCUCAGAUUCAGUGAGACCAGAAGCAAAGGUCUACCUAUUCUAACCUCGAUAUUCUUGAGAUGUUAGCACAGUCGGACUUUACAUCCAAGAUUAUUUCAGAGAAAUUUUUUCCUGGUGGUCAUUUGGAACCAUCAAAGACUUCAAAAUAGGGAUUUGGCUCUAAAAACCAAACGAUCUACUUGGUAACCAAACAACCGGUCCCAACAAGUCAUAAAUAACUUUAUGCAACUAUAAAGAAGCUCAAUCAGUCAAUAAAGCAUAAAUAUGAAAAAUUACUGAAAGGGUCAUUACAAUAUUCACUACUAAAAGGACUUUCAUCCCCAAAAGUCAACGUUUAGAAAGAAACUAAAAAGUUUAAAAGGAUGAGGUACUGGUCCCACAUGAUUAGAGUAGGGCUUCACAGAUAACCUCCACAAAGAGAGAAUACUUUUAAGGGAUUUUUCCAUAGGUAUCACCUUUCCAUCCAGUACUCUUGCUUUACUUCCAAACAACCAAAACUUAACCUCAGCCCCUAAUUGGACUUUAGCUGAACUAAAAAGGUUGAUGCACAAAAACUAAGCCACAACACACUAAUAACAUCUCAAUAUAAAAAACGAAUAAAAGUCCCUCCAAGCGAAAAACAAACCAAGACAUGAGUCAUGCCACCGACUCCAACUCAAAAUAUACCAUAUCAUUAUAAUUCAACACCUAUUAUCCACUCUAAACAAUGAGGAAAAUCACCUGAGUUUCGUCCACAUCAUCUCAUCAUAGCGAACAUAAAGAACUAAAGGUUAUCUACUGAAAGUCCAUAAUAUAAACAUGAGAAUAAGAUCGUAAGGCACUAUUUGGGCACACAAAUAUAGAUAAUCAAGGAUUGCAAUACUUGCCAAUGUUGCAAUAGGCCCAGAUGAUAAUCAAACACAAAUCCAAGAGUUUAAUAUGUAACUACUCAUCAUUGAACAAUCAUCUCCAGGAUGUCCUAUCAAUUGAGAAUGAAACCUUCCUAAAUUAAUCUCAGGUAUAUUACUCCCACUGAGUAAAUCAUCUAAAAUUCCAAGAGAAAACUAAGAAUUAUGGCCAAAACUAAACAAAAAAUUCCAAGAGAAAAAUAAGAAUCAUGGCCAAAACUAAACGAACAAAUACCAGGUCCCUGAGCUAUCAUUUGAACAAUUAUUAACUAUAAUCCAUCAAAGUAGAGAAGAUUGUAUAAACAGCCACAGAGUAGGCUCAACAAGCCUAUAAAUGAAUUCUGAACUGAGACAAGUCUAAAAUGAGAGUUCCCUACAAAAUCUACAAUAGAAAGCUAAAAUCUCAAUACCAAGGUUGAAUUACUAGAUCUCAACAGUCGAAACCUAUAGUAAAGAUGGGUAGGAAUUAAUCCUCUAAAUCUAUCUUACUUCCAAAUCGCUAUUCUAAGGCAUUAAAUGAAAAAAUAAUCCAAAAAGGAUAUAUCAAUGUCAACUAUCUUAAAUCAUCUUUAGUAUCAAAAUCUGACAUAUCCAAGAUAAAUCAUACCAAGCCACAGCCAAUACAUCUGAAGAACAAAAAUCACCAUAGGGAUAACCAUCGAUCGAAAAAACAAGCAACCAACUCUAUAUAAGAUAGAUGGUAUAAACUAUAGCCACAAAAUAGAAAUCAUGCCAAUGGACAAAUCGCCGGUUGAGCUAUCCACUGGAAGGGAUAAACUAUCAACACAGAUGUAACAAAAACUUCCCAAGGCCUUAAACUACACCAGUAAAGUCCAACACUUUAGCAACUUAGAGAAAUACAACUUAAUCUAGAAACUAUCACAUCCAACACUCUAUCUAGGUAAACAAUAUCAUAGGCUCACUUCAUCAAGGAGAAACACUCCACCAAGCCUCACUAGACCAAACAAAUCAUAAAAUAGGCAUUAAAUAAAUCUACCUAAGAAUCAUAUCAUCAAAGAAGAAGUACCAAUCACAACACCAUGGUCAAAGUUAAGACCACCACCUGAAAACCAACAACUCAAGAUAUAGAGUUUUAACAUUUUUGACUUAAAAAGAGAUAACAGGAAACACCACUUGUCUCUAAUAUUCGAACUCUACUUGACAAAACCAUAACACAGAAAGAAAUGAGUGUCCAAUCUUCACACUAAUAACAAGCAUAAACCACCGCAAUUGAAUGAGCCUAAUAAUUCAAUUAGAUGAAUCCACAACAUCUAGACCUCAAAAUUACUAUCGGGCGAUGAAAUAGUAACAAUUAAAGACAAAACCUUGAACUGGUCAAUCUCACAAUAUAAUAUAUAGAAAGGGAUAGCCAAAACAAAAAUCUUAGCGAUAUAGGAGGAAAGUCUAAGGAUCCUAAUCUAAAAAAUAUGAGAUACCACUCAAUCGUCAUCCCUAGAAUCAUAUCAGCGCCAUAGAAUGUCAACUUAAAUUCGAUAUCACACUAUAUCCCUGAUUCACUCUAAUACAGCUAACCAAAAGGGAACUCGGUCAACCUCUUCGCACUAGGGGAAAGAAAUCAUCAAAUUAGGCUAUAUAUCCUCAAGCCACCAAAUAAGAUUACAAGAAAAAUGAAAGUCAAACUAGAUAAUGCUAGUCUAUACAACUACCUCACGAGGAUUAAAUUCAUCAAGAAAUAGUAUCAAAUAAUAUCAAUAACCUCAAGUAGUAAUAACAAUAGCAACAAGAAUAUCAAUAUCAAUAUAAUGAUACGCAUUACAAAAAUGAACAUUUAUAUCAUAUACCACUCAAUGGCCAUAAGAACGCUGAUGUACCAAGAUAAAUAGGACUCAAACCCAAUAGUUACAUCGAAAAGAGAAAAUAUCAAUACAAAUCUACUCCAUUCACUAUAAAAGAAAUAAACCACGGAGUAGUAACAUAAUAAUGUAUUCAAUAAUAAGGCAUAUGUUAAUCGAUAUCAAUCUAUCAAGGCAUACAAUCAUCAGUAGGUAUGAAAACCCCAAUGCACAUAAUAUGAGAUAAAUUUAGGAAAUUAAAGCACAUCAAUCAUGGUGUGAUCUGCAAUCAAAUACCUGAUGGUAUAGAAAAAAUAAAUUUGAACAAGUCCAACUCGGACAGACUGACUAAAUAAUCAAUCAAGGUGCAACACACAGUAUCUCAAACUAAAGAUGUCAUUGCAUCUUAGGUUGAUCUAUAUGAGCUAAAUAACUAUGAAUCCCAUGUCAGGAAUGCUUUCUAGACCAACAGUCAAUGUCUCAAUAGUCGUAGCAACUCCUAAAGCAUCAACAUAGAGAUGGCACAAACUAAGCUCAAAUGGCAAACCAACAAAUGUUUAACAAAAUCUCUAGAAUUAUGUCCAACCUUCUAAAAUUAUAACCUAUCUCAGGGACUCAAGACUAGCAGGGAAUACAUGCUACCUUUGUCUAAUCGACUACUUAAUAUCAGGGGAACUCUCUAUACUAGUGUCUUAUCACGAUACAAAAAAAUAAAGAUCCUGGAAUACUCCAAGAUACUACCUCUCAUAAUUUAGUAUGGUCAUCAUGGCCAAAAGAACCAUACCAAAACUCCACAAGUCUGAUGGAAACUCUGCCAACUAUGAUCAUUACAACAAAUUUGAGAACUACUCAUAGUAUGGAAUACUGACUGCAUAGAGAUGAUGGGCUACAAGUUAAGUUAAACUCGAUCAGAAUAAUCCUCACUCUCGAAUAAAAUACCAAUGGCUCUAUAUUGGUGGUAUUUCUCUUGCAUCCAUUUCCAUAAGUCUAAAUACUCAAUCUCUCUAUGGUCCUAUCAUAAUCAACAUCCUAAAGGAAGGAAGACUCAGCUACAACCAAGUACUCUAAUGCCAAACGGAGAGACAGUAUUAGUCCCCUAACUCAUAUAUGUAGCAAUGACCUGCUCAGGAGGAUACAACAUAGCAAUAAGACUGAUCUACUUAAGAAAUAAAAUCUCAUACUCAAACUGGUAAGGAACCAUGACGAACACCAAUAGAGUCUAUGCUAUUCUAAAAACUGCUUGAUGAAUCAAAUGUCUUACAUGGAUGGGAGGAAUUUGCAACAUAACUCAGAUUACUAAUGCUGAACCUCAAAAAGAUAAAGUAGUCAUGAGGUUAACUAGAGCCUAAGCUGGCCCCAAAAUCCUCUAGCUAAUAUUGAAGGUCUUCCAUAUCUAUCUCUAUCUCAUUUGUUUCGACACUGUGCUAAAACUCUAGAAAUAGGUGCUGAACUCCCAUUCACCCAUCUUGCAUCAUUCACUGGUUACUAAAUAGAGUUGAAGAAUGUAUUUGAGGUUCAUAGUAAUGCAGAAACCCUAUGAGGAGUCAAAAAUUGAAUUUCUUAAAAUGUCCUUAUAGCCUCCCAUAGAUAGGUUACAAAUGUAUUAACACCAAUUUGCAGGACUCUACUAAACACUUAGCUCUUGUACUAAUGCACCAAUGAAAACUAAAUCUUAUAUAAAUUUACGAUGACCCAAAUUCUCAGGUCAUAAUGGCACCUACCCUAAUCCACCAGUAGGUAAGACAAACUGGUAGCCUAGAACAGCUAGUAAUGGACUACUAAAUAAUAUAAGGACAAGAAUGUGUAAUAAUUAAAAUAAUGAUCAAUACAUAAUAAAGUCCCCAAAAUCUAGUAGUAUCAUUAAAAGAUCUUCUAAUAUAAUAAGAGUACAAAAAUAAAAUACCAAGAGAAUUACACUAAUACAACUUAUCUCUAAAUACAAUAUAGAGACUAGUCUAAUACAUAAGAGGGAGGAAACUAAUACUCCAAACAAUAGGAGAUCACUCUAUAUAUCUAAACCAUGGUUACUCCACAUGAUGCAUAAAUCAAUGACAGUAAUCCAUACCAUGAUCUGCAUGUUAUAGAAGUAUAGUAUGAGUACCAAAUAAAUGGUUUUGAGUAGGCAACUUCCAACUAAGCUCUUAAGAUAAAGCGAGUAUAUACAACAUAUAAACAAAAUACAAACUACAUCCAAGAGUCCAUAAGAAAUUUACCAUGCCAAUGAGGUAAUACGGAACAAUCAUCCUGCUCAUAUCUGAUAGACCAACAUAAUAAGGCUAAGUGAGUAAUAAGGGUGAACAAUCCUAUUCCUUCCAUAAUAAAUUAAUUUGAAUGCUAUACCAUAUAUUCCAAGACAACAUACGAAUAAAGGGAAAAAUAAAGAUAAAUGAAAAUAUACAAGGCAAUGAAAUAAAUAUACAAUGUGAACAAAUUAAGAAAGAGAUAUACGAUAGUACCAUAGCUUUAUAUAGCGAUUUAUAGAUAUGCAUAAAAAAGUGAUGUCAUCUUAAAGCAUAACCUAGAUCAUUAUAUGCACAAUAUAAAACCUCAUAAUAAUUCUAUAAGGAAUUAGUUCCAUCAUACUUAAGGUUUCUACUACACAUAGCUAGACAUGAAAUAAUCAUGCAUAAUGAUAACGCUCACCUAUACUAUUGAAAUUAGUAUAGGACUUUCAUUGUCAAUAGCUUAACUUAUGUUGAGGUCAAAUCCAUGAGGAGCAAAAUUAGGUUUCUAGUCCUAUGGUUGCUAAAUACUACUAAUAGAUUACCCGCAAUAUGACAAAAACCAAACUCAAGAAUAAAAAUAGGAGAGGUUGCUUUCUUUGAAUGUGUUUGUCAAUGACAACGAAAAUCAACAAAUAAAACAACAAUUGUGAUUUAAAUUGAAUAUGAAAGGAAUAUUGGGAUUGUGUCUUCCUAAAGGAAAAUUAUGCAUGGGUGCAUGAAGAUUUAGUGUACAUUCUAGUUAUCGAUAAUGUGGUAGGCUAGGUCGAAGGUCCUUGUGGCUAGUUUGUCAACAAAACCUCAAGGAUAUCACUCGUUGACUCUUUCGAGUACCUAACAAGUGUGUCAAUUACAACUACCUAUUACCUCAAUUAGGCAUCCCUAUAUCUAGGAAGAAGCCUAAGAUAUAGUCAACUUCCUAAUCACUCUUAUGCCUAAGAUAGUGAAAAUUAGCAAACUAUAUCCUUCAGUUAUCCCCUAUUGUUUUCUCAGCCAUAUUUCUCUUUCUAAGAUGAUAUAGGUACCAAGUGUUCACCCAAACCCUUAUUAAAUAAUGGUGUGAGCUUUUAAUAAUUUGGGAUUUUCACCAAAAAUCUAAUUUAGAUAUUUGGGGCUUUCACCCACAAAUAUACAUAAGGAUUAAUCAAAGAAUCCACUCUCCAACUCACUAAAUUCAAAGUCUCCAAAUCAAAAAUACAAUCAUUGCCCAAUUAAUGGUUUGAAACAUCAAAUUAAACUUGUUCAAAGAAUCUAGAAAUCUAAAAAGAGAAAAGGUUUUAGCCUAUAAAAAGAAUUGGGUUUGGCUGAGUGAAGUUACAAAACUGCCCCUAGGCACAUUGCCGCUUAGCUGUGAUCACUGAAGCUUGUCUACGAUUGCGUCUACCGUGGCUACAGUAAAAACACCAUCCUCGCGGUAGUUUUACCUGGCUUGACUAGCUACAAUCACAGCCCACAAAGUGUGAUCGCUAUAACUGAGGCUAGUUUCUUCUUUAGGUUAUUUAUCUGUACUUCUUUCCUCCUUUUUUGAUCCUUUUCAGCUCACAUCUAUAUCCUUUUAUCUCAUAACCUGUAUGCCUACAAAAUGUGGAAAUUAACAUAUUUAAUAACAAAUAUGUCUUAUUUAUUCAUUCAAUUCAUAGUAGCAUGCAUAAAUGUUGAGAGCGAAUGAGUGGUAAAUUCACCAGUUAUGCCCAAAUAUACAUUUCUCUAGAAGGAUUAGACAUUUCAUCAAUUCUUAUAUAUAUAGAGUGGUAAUUUCUCAAGAAACACUACCUUUCUCUAUGAGACAAAUAUACAUUUAUGCCCAAGUUAGAUGACCCAAUAAUCACAAUGACUUCAAACUUAGUUACUACAACAAGUAGCUCUUCAAACAUGUGCAAAGCUAAUCUUACAACCUCCCUUAACAUGAAAUCUAAUGUUCAAUUGUGUAAAAGACUUCAAUGAUAAACCAUGAAACAAUCACUAAUACUCUAUAAGUGACUCACAUUUGACCUUAACUUCAUUAUACUCUUUUUGCCUCAUUUUUUGAAAGAUAACAAAAUAACCCACCAUAACUUGCUUAUAUGCCUCCUCAUAAGAAGGAAAAUUCCACACACCAAGUUAUCAAAUAUGCAACAAAGUAUUUAAUUGCAAAGCUCACUCUCUAACAAGGAUUCUCGAUGCAAACAAACAUGAUGCCAUAGGCUUGCGCCUAUUUUUAAUCGCCACUACAAUGAAUAUACCUGGUUGGAGAUCACAAAUGAUUUUUUGAGCUUGUAAUGUAGGUUCGAGGUAGGGUAAGAUAUCAUUUAGGAACAACAUGGCUAUACCCUCUUUUAACAUCUACAUUACACUAUUCCAUCAAACUUUUGACCAUGGGCCACUUCUUUUGUUUUCACUGUUUACACAAGUGCUUACUUUUAUUUCCUUGGUUCAACUAUUUUCUUUUAAUUUCUUUUUCUUGCACACUUUAUGCUUUUGUUUCCUUUGUUGGAUCCUAUCUUUUUAUUAUUCAUUUGUUCUCAAUUCUUAAGCUCUUAGGAAAUUACUUAAUAUUUCAUUGCCAAAAAUUAACUCCUUAAAUCCUCAUGACACUCAACUUAGGAUUUUAGUCUCAACUUGUAAUUUUAAGAUCAAGGAUGGUAGGGUUCAAAAGAGGGAUAAAUAUUAAAUGGCUCACGAGUUGUAAUGCAUUUACCAAACAAAGGUCCAAAGACUCAAACUGGGUGACUAGGGAUAAUAUCUAUGCAAGGGUAGGCUUUUUAGGCUAUAGUGGACUUCUAAUAUCACAAAAAUACUCAAGGUGAUGUGAGGUUUAUUUAUGUACUCUAGUGUUGUUAUCCUAGCAAAUUUAGCCAUAUUUUGAGGAUGAUUCAUGUUCUUAAUGAUUGAAUGAUGAUAGAAAUAAAAAUUUAAGUUUUUAAGCAUGAUGUUACAAUGUUAAGAAAUGUUUCCAAACAAGUUUAGGUUUAAAGAAUUUAAUUAGAGUUUGGGUGAGAAAACUACUUUUACAAGCUUGAGCUAGGCGUUGUUCUUGUAUAUUGUCAUGGAUUCUAAGCUAUAAAAUGAGUUUCUAAUAGUUUUAAUGUGUAAUAUUAUGUGAAAUAACUUGUUUGUAAUGUUCAAAGUGUAUUUGAGUCAAGUCAAGAGCUAAAGGAAAAUGUUAAAGAUUAAGCGAGCAAGCCUAAUCUUAGCUCGUGUUUCUUGCUCAUCGUUUUGAAUGUUAUGUUGUUUUGAGCUCGAAUUCUUGUUGUGUGAUCAUGUAUGAUUCUUUUGGUCUUGAUGUUGAUGAAAUAUUGAUGAUGUAAAAGCUGAAAACUAUGGUAAAAUGACACCAUAAGAAAAAGGAACAAUUGGAGGAAACACUUAGACAAAUAUUGGAUCGAUUGGCACAUUCGAAUGGCUGCCCGCGAUUUACGCGUGUUUCCCCUUUCAUUGAAGUGAUAUGGAGAAUGUGAAGCACCCUUAUAGUUUUGCUAUUCAUCCUGUGGUGUGCUUGGUAGUGUAGUGCGAUGCAGCCUGUGGAGCAUUGUCCAUUUACAUGCCGGAAAAAUUCCUCAAACUAUAAAUACAUCACACUAAACACAUUGUAAUCAUCUUAGAACAUCUUGGACUAAUUGGUAGGAUAUUUUACUUCA